AACGAACGCUGGCGGCGUGGAUAAGACAUGCAAGUCGAACGGGAAUAAGUUUGUAGCAAUACAAAUCUGUUUAGUGGCGAACGGGUGCGUAACACGUGAGCAAUCUGCCGAGAAGUGGGGGAUAGCUCGCCGAAAGGCGAAUUAAUACCGCAUGUGGCUAGAGGUGACAUCACCUUCAAGCUAAAGUAGCAAUACGCUUCUUGAUGAGCUCGCGGCCUAUCAGCUAGUUGGUAAGGUAACGGCUUACCAAGGCUAUGACGGGUAGCUGGUCUGAGAGGACGACCAGCCACACUGGAACUGAGACACGGUCCAGACACCUACGGGUGGCAGCAGUCGAGAAUUUUUCACAAUGGGGGAAACCCUGAUGGAGCGACGCCGCGUGGAGGAUGAAGGCCCUUGGGUCGUAAACUCCUGUCAUGCGGGAACAAGAAAGUGAUAGUACCGCAAGAGGAAGAGACGGCUAACUCUGUGCCAGCAGCCGCCGUAA
rnacentral:rRNA from 1 species